rnacentral:piRNA from 1 species
UAGCAGCAAAGCAAAGGAUUGGCCA